CAAGUCGAGUGCGCGUGCCGUAGCAAUACGGCAUGGCGCACGGCGCACGGGUGCGUAACACGUGGGCAAUCUGCCCUCCGGUGGGGAAUAACCCCGCGAAAGCGGGGCUAAUUCCGCAUAACAUUCCCUGGACUCCGGUUCGGGGAUUCAAAGCAGUGAUGCGCCGGAGGAGGAGCCCGCGCCCGAUUAGCUAGUUGGUGAGGUAACGGCUCACCAAGGCAAUGAUCGGUAGCUGGUCUGAGAGGAUGGCCAGCCACACUGGAAUUGAGACACGGUCCAGACUCCUACGGGAGGCAGCAGUGGGGAAUCUUGCGCAAUGGGCGAAAGCCUGACGCAGCGACGCCGCGUGGGGGAUGAAGCUUUUCGGAGUGUAAACCCCUUUCGACUGGGACGAAUGCCCGCAAGGGAGUGACGGUACCGGUAGAAGAAGCCCCGGCUAACUACGUGCCAGCAGCCGCGGUAAGACGUAGGGGGCCAGCGUUGUUCGGAAUUACUGGGUGUAAAGGGUUCGUAGGCGGUGUGGCAAGUCGGGAGUGAAAUUUCUGGGCUUAACCCAGAAGCUGCUUCCGAAACUGCUGUGCUAGAGUGCGGGAGAGGCGCGUGGAAUUGCAGGUGUAGCGGUGAAAUGCGUAGAUAUCUGCAGGAACACCCGUGGCGAAAGCGGCGCGCUGGACCGUUACUGACGCUGAGGAACGAAAGCUAGGGGAGCAAACAGGAUUAGAUACCCUGGUAGUCCUAGCCCUAAACGAUCAGGACUUGGGGUGCCUUCCGUUCGGAAGUCGUCCCGGAGCUAACGCGUUAAGUCCUGCACCUGGGGAGUACGGUCGCAAGACUGAAACUCAAAGGAAUUGACGGGGGCCCGCACAAGCGGU
rnacentral:rRNA from 1 species